rnacentral:lncRNA from 1 species
CCCGGUUUCGACCGGCGCGCACCUGGGGCUGAGCCGGGUGCGCGCGGGGGUCGGGUCUGGAACUGCCCUUGAAUCGACGGGAUUUCUCUGGCUGUCGUUUGCGCUGCAUUUAUCCGAAUACAUCCAGCUCGCAGGCAUCCUGCAAGAAACGGCUCCCGGCUCGCGUGUACGCCGACACCUCGGCCCAACGCAGGACUCGAGGUGGUUUCUAGUGCCCGGGUGGCUGCAAGUCUGCCCUCCGAGGGAGGCUGGACAAGCGGCGCCCCCAGGUCGAGCGGCCUCUCGCUGCCUGGCAGUGCCUGGCAGCCCCCACCUCUGCCAGUGCUUCGGAAACCCGCCUGGCCAGGUUCGCCCGCGGUGAAAAAUGAAAGCAAAUUCCCCAACAGAGGUAGCCGGAACUUUCCUCGACGAAGGCUCCCUCCUGCGCCUGUGUCUGGAGAACCCCCAGAGCGCUGCAAGUUAGCAAGAGAGAUUCGAUGGCGGCUCUGGAAGGCGCACGAAGGGUGGGGCGGGGGAGCAAAGAGGCCACUGGGUGACCCAGCCUGGUCCGGGGUGAAACGCUAGAGAAGGCGCCUCGCCUUCCUUAUUUCAAUGCAACUCCUCGGCCCCAGACGGUAAAAAUAGUUUCCAAGCUGCCGCGGACGCCCAGGAUGUGUUUGCAGAGAUCAAACUGGGGAGGAGGCAGCUUUGUAAAAGUUGCAGAAAGAUUAGCCGAGAAGCGUCCGCCCGGCGGGGCUCAAGAAAGCUUGGGGACAGCUCCAUGUUCCUUGGGGCGGAAUGGCCCAAGAAUUGGCCUGGGUAACCCCCUGCCCAGUUCUCUGUCCUCACUUCGAGCCAGUGCUUAAAUAACUUCCCGCCGCCUGCCCUGCAAACUUCCCGGCGCGGCGCCGUUGAGGCCAGGACACAGCAAAGGCUAGCAAAACCCCGCCGCGGCGCGCUCGGCCCCGGCCCUGAGAGGCUGCGCGGGUGGGAGGACCAGUGUGGUUUCUGCUCCCACUCGGCUGCCCAGACCCUCAAGACCGAUCCCCCAACUCCUGGGAGCGGGUGCUUCCCUCUGGGAGCCGAGAUCUUGCGGGGCCAGCGAGGGCGCAAAGUGCGCGCGCUGGCCCGCGCGGGGGCGGCCGC